rnacentral:rRNA from 1 species
CCUACGGGAGGCAGCAGUGAGGAAUAUUGGUCAAUGGACGAGAGUCUGAACCAGCCAAGUAGCGUGAAGGAUGACUGUCCUAUGGGUUGUAAACUUCUUUUAUAUGGGAAUAAAAUGUUCCACGUGUGGGAUUUUGUAUGUACCAUAUGAAUAAGGAUCGGCUAACUCCGUGCCAGCAGCCGCGGUAAUACGGAGGAUCCGAGCGUUAUCCGGAUUUAUUGGGUUUAAAGGGAGCGUAGGUGGAUUGUUAAGUCAGUUGUGAAAGUUUGCGGCUCAACCGUGAAAUUGCAGUUGAAACUGGCAGUCUGGAGUACAGUAGAGGUGGGCGGAAUUCGUGGUGUAGCGGUGAAAUGCUUAGAUAUCACGAAGAACUCCGAUUGCGAAGGCAGCUCACUGGACUGCAACUGACACUGAGGCUCGAAAGUGUGGGUAUCAAACAGGAUUAGAUACCCGGGUAGUC